rnacentral:lncRNA from 13 species
AUGAACAAAAGUUUAAAAAAAAAUGUUAACAUAAAAUCUUUACUUUAUUAUUCGCAUAUUUGUUUCCCUUCGCAAAUAUGGCUGUUUUGGCUUCACAUUGUAGUCACGGACCUAUCACAGAACGGUAUGCCUGACCGCAGCAGCGAUGGUGUUCUUUGGUCUGCUCUGGCUAAAUCCUCUAAAAUAGGAGAAUUAUGCGUUGAACUUGCUCAGCAGAACUGCAGCAUGCACGGAUCAAGUCUGCAGUUGCAGUACAGCAUUUACUCCGCAGAAGUCAGAGCGACCAUAGUUUUUGCCCGGAUGACGCUGGGCCAAUUGUGCGCUGCCCAAUGGGACCCCCAAUCACGGCCGGUUGUGAUAUAGUCUGGAAUCGAACUACGGUCUGUAGUGACGCCUCUAGCGUCACUAUAUGCCGCUGCGCCACUCGGGGGCCUUUGCAGAGCUGUUGUCAAGGAAGUGAGUUUGUGUUUAUAAAGGACCUCCCGCCCCCACCUACUGUCAACCAAUCAUGUCAAUGCCGAGCUAUAUGCGGAGCCCUCCGCAUUGUUACAAAAUUUGAGAGGCACUGAGCUUGAUAAGGUAUCUGCAUGUUUCAAAGGGUUGCCAGGUCUAGCUAAAAUUAAUAGUCCAAUGACUAAUCAAAACUCGGGCAAGGGACUGAAAACUGGCCCGUAUAGUUGCCAUAUUUAUGCAAUAAAACCUUUUUACAUUACCUUAUCGAGCCAAUUAAGAAGGAAUAUCAUAGUAACUUGUCAUGACAUUAGAAGCAAAAUGUGGUUUUCCUCAAAAUAAUAAGAAUUAUUAUAUGUCGCAAGAGAAAAAUAAUUAGCUUUUAACUCGCCAAAUAAUUUUCCAUGAAUGGAUGUCGAUUGAACUUGUUUGACUGUUAUGAUUAAAAGCAAUAGCCUUAUUGGCUACAUACAAGGGGGGAUGGUAUAUGGUCAAUUUACCAUGGCUAAGGGCUGUUCUUAACUAUGACGCAACACGAAGUGCCUGGAUAUAGACCCUAGCCGUGGUAUUUUGGCCAUAUACCUCAACCCCCCGGGGUGCCUUAUUGCUAUUAUAAAAUUGUUACCAAUGUAAUUAGAACAGUAAAAGUUUUUUUUUUUGGUCAUACCCGUGGUAUAUGGUCUGUUAUAAACUGGUUGGUUCGAGCCCUGAAUGCUGAUUGGCUGACAGCCGUGGUAUAUCAGACUGUAUACCAGGCUGUAUUCAGGGCUCGAACCACAUUUACAGUGCCUUGCAAAAGUAUUCGGCCCCCUUGAACUUUGAGACCUUUUGCCACAUUUCAGGCUUCAAACAUAAAGAUAUAAAACUGUAUUUUUUUUUGAAGAAUCAACAAGUGGGACACAAUCAUGAAGUGGAACGACAUUUAUUGGAUAUUUCAAACUUUUUUAACAAAUCAAAACUGAAAAAUUGGGCGUGCAAAAUUAUUCAGCCCCUUUACUUUCAGUGCAGCAAACUCUCUCCAGAAGUUCAGUGAGGAUCUCUGAAUGAUCCAAUGUUGACCUAAAUGACUAAUGAUGAUAAAUACAAUCCACCUGUGUGUAAUCAAGUCUCCGUAUAAAUGCACCUGCACUGUGAUAGUCUCAGAGGUCCGUUAAAAGCGCAGAGAGCAUCAUGAAGAACAAGGAACACACCAGGCAGGUCUGAGAUACUGUUGUGAAGAAGUUUAAAGCCGGAUUUGGAUACAAAAAGAUUUCCCAAGCUUUAAACAUCCCAAGGAGCACUGUGCAAGCGAUAAUAUUGAAAUGGAAGGAGUAUCAGACCACUGCAAAUCUACCAAGACCUGGCCGUCCCUUUAAACUUUCAGCUCAUACAAGGAGAAGACUGAUCAGAGAUGCAGCCAAGAGGCCCAUGAUCACUCUGGAUGAAUUGCAGAGAUCUACAGCUGAGGUGGGAGACUCUGUCCAUAGGACAACAAUCAGUCGUAUAUUGCACAAAUCUGGCCUUUAUGGAAGAGUGGCAAGAAGAAAGCCAUUUCUUAAAGAUAUCCAUAAAAAGUCUCGUUUAAAGUUUGCCACAAGCCACCUGGGAGACACACCAAACAUGUGGAAGAAGGUGCUCUGGUCAGAUGAAACCAAAAUUGAACUUUUUGGCAACAAUGCGAAACGUUAUGUUUGGCGUAAAAGCAACACAGCUGAACACACCAUCCCCACUGUCAAACAUGGUGGUGGCAG